rnacentral:pre_miRNA from 1 species
UUGUGGUGAUCAAAGUGGAGGCCCUCUCUUGAGCCUUGACCUGAAAGUGCUUCCAUUUUGUGUGCCACAGUGUGGG